rnacentral:lncRNA from 12 species
CUGAAGGGGUAUAUUUGCACGUUAAAGAUUUUUCUCAAUUAGCUCAAUUUUCUCACCUGCUCCCUGUGUCUGCUUCACUUCUGCGUGGAGGUUUGGUACAGUCAGGGAGGGAUCAUGGUUUAAGAAGUUGCCGCCCACUCUGCUUCUGCUGCAUGGAGCAGGCCUUGUAAAGAGAGAAGGAGAGCGAGAAAGAGAGAGAGCUGCCAUUACCGCUGUCUGACAUUUGCACGCCCAAAGCAAGACGGAGGAGGAGAGGAAGAGUGCAAAAGGGAAAGGAAAAAACAUUUUUUUGCCGGUUUAAGAGCCUUUGGAACUGGGAAUUGAGACGGAGUCAGAGGUCAACGAGCGGAGGAAAAGGUGUCAGAUCCUUGAGAGAGAAGUGAAGAAUAAGACAUUAGAAUGUAAGACUUUGAAGAAUGAGCUUCAGGAUGCUUUGCUGGAGAGAAAACGGCUCAAUCGUGAGCUGCUUAGUCACACCCUGAAGGCCACACAGUACGAGAAGGUAAAGUCAGACUAUGAUCAGCUCAGAAAGGCUUUUGGUUGUGUGAGUCAAGAGAGGGACACUGCCAGGCAGGAGAAGGCUCAGCUCCAAGACAAACUGGAGAACCUUGAACAGGUCCUGAAGGUAAGAUCACUGUUGGAUACUGGUUAAAUGCUAGUUUGAUUAUUGAUUCAAAUCCAACCAGCUUUCAAUACAUUUUGCAGAUAAAAGUUUCCUCUAUGACAGCUUUUCUAG